AUGGACGAAGAUGAACGACAGAGGAAACUAGAUGCUGGAAGAGCAAAGCUUGCUAGCUUCCGACAGAAAAGGGCAAAAGGCCACGAUCAAGUCGCGCAGAAAAAGACGCAGAAGAGGAAGGGCCCGUCUCCAACGCAGAAUGACGGCCCAGCGCAAGGUCGCCCCCUAGGGAUGGACCUCCAGACAGACAGCAACGCCACACAGCAGGACCAUGUGUGUAACCAUGAGGAAUCACAAUGUUUUGGGGAGACAGAUCAGAGCCAUCUUCCAGAGGUCCAGUGGAGCCAGGGGCACUUGGAGCAACACCAUCCCCAGGAGGGAAGCCAUGCCCUGGGGAGGCAGGCGGUCAGUGGGCAUCCUGAGGAGAUGGAGGUUGUGGGAGAGGAGGUCCUAGUGGUUCGCACUGGAAAAGAUCAACUCAAGGUACUGAACUGUACCUACACACACGGUAUAUUGAAGCAAUAAGGCCCGAGGAGGUGUGGUAUAUGGCCAAUAUACCAUGGCUAAGGAUACAGUGCUUGGAUACAAAUCCCCAAGGUGCCUUAUUGCAAUUAUAAACUGGUUACCAACGUAAUUAGACUAGUAAAACGUUUAAAAAAAUGGUUGUACAUAUGCUUUACGGUCUGAUAUACCACGUCUUUCAGACAAUCAACAUUCAGUCUUUGUCUAUGAAUUAGGAAAUAUGGAAAGCUUUUCCUAUUGUAGGGGAUGGAUGGGAGAGAAACAUCUUGAGUUCUAUUUUCAUUAUUGCUGGAGAAAUGACAAUCGUGUUCUAAAUAUGUACCAGGAGAAAUGGGGUAGAUGUGUGUUCAUAUGCAUGCCCUGCAACAAAAGUUACACACACUUCACUUGUGUGUUGUACCUCUUUUCCCUCCUUCAGGGAACAGUAGUUAUAUUCAUAACUUUAUGGUUAGAUGCACUUGUUUGACACACACCAAACACACACAUACACACCACUCCUAACUGGGUUGGGUAUUUUUUCGUUUGGAUUAAUUUGUUCUCAUGCUUUUUUACCCAUAAGAACCCGGGGCUGCUUCUGAAUAAUUAAACAUAGAGUGCCUUCAGAAAGUAUUCAAACCCCUUGAGUUAUUCCACAUUUUGUCACAGUCUGAAUUCAAAAUGGAUUAAAUAGAUUAUUUUUCUCACCCAUCUAAACACGAUACCCCAUAAUGACUAAGUGAGAAAAUGUUUUUAGAAGCGUUAGCAAAUUUCUUGAAAAUGUAAUAUAGUAAUAUCUCAUUUACAUAGGUAUUCACAUCCCUGAGUCAAUAUGUAAGUCUCUAAGAGCUUUACACACCUGGAUUGUACAAUAUUUGCCUAUUAUUCUUUUCAAAAUUCUUCAAGCUGUGUCAAAUUGGUUGCUAGAAAACCAUUUAAGUCUUGCCAUAGAUUUUCAAACAGAUUUAACUUGGUAAGCAACUCCAGUGUAGAUUUGGCCUUGUGUUUUAGGUUAUUGUCCUGCUGAAAGAUGAAUUCAUAUCUCAGUGUCUGGUGGAAAGCAAACUGAACCAGGUUUUCCUCUAGAAUUUUGCCUGUGCUUAACUCCAUUCCAUGUAUUUAUUUUCUUUAUCCUGGAAAAACUCUCCAGUCCUUAAUGAUUACAUACCCAUAACAUGAUGCAGCCACCACUAUGUAGGAGUGGUACUCAGUAAUCUGUUGUAUUGGAUUUGCCCCAAAUAUAACACUUUGUAUUCAGGACAAGAAUUUAAUUGCUUUGCAACAUUAUUUGCUGUGUUAUUUUAGUGCCUUGUUGCAAACAGGAUUUGGAGUAUUUUUGGGUACAUAUUUUUGGAUUCCUUUCGCUCUGUCAAUUAGAUUAGUAUUGUGAAGUAACUAAAUCUACAAUCCUACAUUUCCCCUAUCACAGCCAUUACUCUCUACCAAUAGGUGUCCUUCUUUGUGAGACAUUGGAAAACCUCCGUGGUCAUUGUGGUUGAAUCUGUGCUUGUAAUUCACUACUCAUCUGAGGGACCUUAGAGUUAAUUAUGUGUGUGGCAAAGAGAUGAGGUAGUCAUUUAAAAAAAUUAUGUUAAACACAUUGGAAACAGUGAGUCAAUGCAACUUAUUAUGUGAGUUAAGCAAAUCUUUACUCAUGAACUUAUUUAGGCUUGCCAUAACAAAGUGGUUGAAUACUUAUUGACUUAAGACAUUUCAGCUUUUCAUUUGUAAAAAUGUAGAAAAACAUAAUUCCACUUCGACAUUAUGGGGUGUUGUGUGUAGGCCAGUGAUGACAAAUCUCAAUAUAAUCAAUUUUCAGGCUGUAACGCAACAACCAAGUCUAGUGAAUACUUGUGAAGGUACAUCUUUCUCAUCCAUGCUUCUUUCUCUGCUCCCGCCCUAACUUCCUCCCUCCCCAUUUCUCCCAAUUUCCCUCUCCGCUCUCUCUCUCUCUCCCGCUCUCUCUCUCUCUCCCGCUCUCUCUCUCUCGCUCGCUCGGCUAUACUUUGCAUUCCCCUUGCAAUCAUAUUUGGCAUUUAGCAGACACUUUUAAUCCAAAGUGAUCAGAAUAAAAUGUAAUAAAGUAAGGUGUUUUACGUCUGUGUGCGCAUACGCGUCUCUCUCUCUGUGUCUCUGUGUGUCUGUGUCUGGCUGUGUGUCUCUCUGUGUCUGGCUGUGUCUCUCUCUGUGUCUGGCUGUGUGUCUCUCUGUGUCUGGCUGUGUGUCUCUCUGUGUCUGGCUGUGUGUCUCUCUGUGUCUGGCUGUGUGUCUCUCUGUGUCUGGCUGUGUGUCUCUCUGUGUCUGGCUGUGUGUCUCUCUGUGUCUGGCUGUGUGUCUCUCUGUGUCUGGCUGUGUGUCUCUCUGUGUCUGGCUGUGUGUCUCUCUGUGUCUGGCUGUGUGUCUCUCUGUGUGUCUCUCUGUGUGUCUCGCUGUGUGUCUGGCUGUGUGUCUGUCUCUGUGUCUGGCUGUGUCUCUCUGUCUCUGUCUGUCUGUCUGUGUGUCUGUGUGUCUGUCUGUGUGUCUGUGUGUCUGUCUGUGUGUCUGUGUGUCUGUCUGUGUGUCUGUGUGUGUGUCUGUGUGUCUGUCUGUCUGUGUGUCUGUCUGUCUGUGUGUCUGUGUCUGUCUGUGUGUCUGUCUGUCUGUGUGUCUGUCUGUCUGUGUGUCUGUCUGUCUGUGUGUCUGUGUCUGUCUGUGUGUCUGUGUGUCUGUGUGUCUGUGUGUCUGUGUGUCUGUGUGUCUGUGUGUCUGUGUGUCUGUGUGUCUGUGUGUCUGUGUGUCUGUGUGUCUGUGUGUCUGUGUGUCUGUCUGCAGCAGUUACAGGCAGCAGUAGAGAAAUGUAAUGAGAUCAUCAGCAGACUGAGCUGUAACCUGCAGGAGGCGCUGGAGAGCAGAGACCAGGUACAGCAGGAGGCCUCCUCCCUCACUGGACAGAUACAGGCCCUGAAGAUGCAGCUACAGCAGGUACACGCUCACACACACACUUCAAAAAGUCAUUAAAAAAAAAAAACAAGUACAGUACACAUGAUUGUGAUUGACAAAAUUAAAACGUUUUUUUAUUUAUUGUAC
rnacentral:lncRNA from 8 species